GAUGAACGCUGGCGGCGUGCUUAAUACAUGCCAGUCGAGCGGACGGGCGCUGAGCUUGCUUCUCGGAUGUUAGCGGCAGGCGUGUGAGUAACACGUGUAUAACCUCCCUAUAAGACUGGGAUAACUUCGGGAAACCGGCGCUAAUCCCGUAUGAUAUUUUGAACCGCAGUGUUCAAAAGUGAAAGACGGUCUUUCUGUCACUUAUCGAUGCAUCUGCGCUGCAUUAGCUAGUUGGUAAGGUAACGGCUUACCAAGGCAACGAUGCCUAGGCGACCGCAGAGGGUGAUAGGCCGCCCUGGAAGGGGGACAGGGUCCAGAGUACUACGAGAGGGAGCAGUAGGGAACGUUACGCAAUAGGCGAGAGCCUGACGGAGCAACGGCACGUGAGUGAUGGCGGUGUCGGGAGCGUAAUAAUCUGUUAUGAGGGAAGAACAUAUGUGUAAGUAAAUGUGCACAGCUUGACGGUACCUGAUCAGAAAGCAACGGCUAACUACGUG
rnacentral:rRNA from 1 species